GGACUCAAAACGUCUAAUUUGAAAGAGUUACACUGAUCGCACAUCCAUAUUCGUGGCACGAUUUUGCCACGCGCCGCGCAUGUGUGCCGCGCCUUACUCGGCCACCACAACGUUUAUGUCGCAUAAACGAGCUAAGUUUACAAACGGCGCCUGCGCAGAUCGCACGUUAGCACGUUAACAGCCGCGCUUCGUGACAGACACCUGACAAAUGUGAAGAAUCAACAAAGUUGUGUGAUAACAUGAAGGUGGCAAAUAGUGGAAUUGUUUCGAGUUAGCCGAAAGUGAUUGUCACGUGAAUUAUUUAAUUCUUUCAUUUAAUUUUUUAACGUAACUGGAAGUUUUCACCGGCUUGGAACUAUUGUUAUAAAUAUACGGUGGCUGUAUUUGCACAAAUGUGGACCUACUCGAGUGUGGACAUCCCGGGCUCUCGUAUGAGCCGUACAGACAGAAUAAAAAUCUACUUGUCGGAGUGUGUCGUGUGUUUUUGCAUAGUGUUCUUUAUAAUCUGUGUGGGGUUACUGUUGUACUUGUUUUUCCAUCUGUACAGUACUGUGACGAGUGCGGGGAAACUCGCGGGCUCAUUGGUAGCUGAGAGCUAGUGUUUACACUUUGCAGCCUAGAUCCUUCUAUUGAUGUUAAUGUGUUUAGACAUGUGA